CGCGAACCGGCGUUUCAGUGAAUAAAUCGGCGGACUUCUAAUCCGCGGGUCGGAGGUUCGAAUCCUCCCGGGCGCGU
rnacentral:tRNA from 1 species